GCUUAAAUUUUGCAAUAAUUCGCACUAAAAUAUCUUGAAAAUCAUUGUAAGCCUAUUUAUAUAAAGCAUAAUAAGCAUACACAUCGACAAGGAACGGGAAAACUCAAAGUUUAAACCGGUUCGUGACCGAAUGACAUAACUGACAUGUCAACUCUAGCAUUUUCGUCCUUGGUCGUGUAAUUUUGAAAACGGGUGUAAUAUACACCCUCUUCGCCACAAACACAAAAUAAAUCUGCUAUAAGAGCUAUAUCCAGGGGCUCCAACUAGCCCCUUUUAAUUCGGGGGUGUGUGCCAAUUCCGUGUUAAAACAUGGCUUAAACCCUUAUUUUUGGACCAAUAUAAAUUCUAUAAAUUCCAUCUGAAAGCCCUGUAAAUUACUUAACUCUACAUUCUAUCAUUUGAAAUCUUUGAUUGCCGUGCCAAUCCACAUGAUUUGUAUUGGGGUGGGGGGGGGGGGGGGGGUAUCGCCCCUAGCGAUAUCUAUACAGGCAUACAAAUUAUAGUUUACAUGAAACGGCCACAUUUGAUAUAUAUACGCAUGAGUUUCCUCGACAAUAGUGGCACAAAGUCCCACACGAUUGAGCGUGUUCAUCAGUUUAUUCAAAACAAUAAAUAAAUACUAGUAAUUUAUACCAACCUUUGGUCCAGGAUAUGAUUAUUCCUUGACCGACCUAUUAUCCGCAAUUCCCGCCAAAACUUUCACGACUGAGUGCAAUUCCCGCCAAAACCUUUACGACUGAGUCACUUCGAUGUUUGUCAGAAAAUGAGUCCGCCUUUUACAAAUCGCAGCCCGCGAUUUGUAAAACACGGACUCAGUCCGCGUUUUACAAAUCUUAGUUCGCGAU